rnacentral:lncRNA from 10 species
AAAGGUCCAGCACCUCUUCCGUCCUGCACUUUGCUUGAUUAGGAAUCACAUGCAGCUCAUACUUGUGCACCUAUUUAUUAAGAUAGAGCUGUUGCUUUUUCUCCUGCGAAGGUAUGGAAUGGAAGCUGUGGGUCUCAUGCUGGAAAGCAGGCUUGCCUGGCCCAGCCCUCUUGGCUUUCUGCCAUCGUUUGCACCUCGGUGUCUUGUUGGGCCCAGACAUCCACCCCUCACUGGGCUCUCAUCCAAAGACAGGAGAGGGAAGGGCCAAAGAGCAAGGAACCUCGGGGGCUGCAGUGCUUAGGAUGGUUAUGCUUCCACAGAGGAAAUGCCAGGAGAGGUGGCCCUGGAGCUAGAGGCCCUUAUGAGGUGCAGGAGGCACAGCGAGCAGAGUCCUGGGCACUGAGCGUUGUGUUCAGAGGAAACAGCUGCAUCCUAGGCAAGGCCGGAGUAACAGGUGUGUUCCCAACUGAGAAAACGGUGCAGUUUCAUCUUCUGAAUCCAAGAACGGAAGCACAAUGGGACCUGGGCAUCCAGUACUACUCACUCAGGAGCACAUAUGACCAGCCCCUCAGAGUCUCUGAGGUAGGAGGCAGGUGCAUCACCUUCCAGCCCCAUAGUCAGGUCCCGUGACUCCUUUGCCUGUGGGCUGUGCCAUCAUUGUGCCAC